rnacentral:rRNA from 1 species
AUAAGCAAAAGAAGGGCAGACGGUGGAUGCCUUGGCUCUAAGAGGCGACGAAGGACGUGAUAAGCUGCGAAAAGCNGUGAUUCCCUCAGUAGUGGCGAGCGAACGGGGAGGAGCCCAAACCGAUGCUGUUUCGGCAGUGUCGGGGUUGUAGGAUCUCGAAUAAAGCUUUACAACGGAGAGGUAGUAGAAGAUUCUGGAAAGGAUCGCCAAAGCGGGUGACAGCCCCUUAUACGAAACUUUGAAGUUGGAGUGACGAGAGACCUGAGUAGCGCGGGAC